GCGCCCGUAGCUCAAUUGGAUAGAGCGUCUGACUACGGAUCAGGAGGUUGGGAGUUCGAGUCCCCCCGGGCGCGCCA
rnacentral:tRNA from 1 species